rnacentral:snoRNA from 14 species
GAGAUGAUGAUAGAAAAAAAAAUCUAUAGUCAAUUCCUUUAACAUGAAACAGCUAUGAUUAAUGAUUCAAUAUAUCUGACU